AUAAGUGUAAAGUGCACAAAAAGUUUUGAUCUUUUAAGGACUAGUGUAAUUCUGGUGGGUAUAAG
rnacentral:tRNA from 1 species